GCUUCAUGUAUAUUCCAAGACAUUUAAUUGUAUUAAUCUUGUUAACUAGUCUUACGACUUUUGCGAUAAAUAUAUAGUUGUGGACAAUUGAGAUGAUUCAAGCAUCCUGGGGAAAAUUGGUGAGACAGCUAAGGCAUGACGGUUAGAACUAUUAACUUUCAUGAGAAAAGUGUUCUAAACAUUAUCGAUCAAGUCAGGAAAAAAAUCAUAAGAUGAUUGUCCUUCGCAUAUAUGGAACACCUGAUAAAGGGGUCUUCCCUAUAAAAAUAGAAUUAUUACAUCGAUUUCGCAUGAAAAAAUUGUUCGAGAAAAAAAUUGGGUUUACACGAA